rnacentral:rRNA from 1 species
UUUGACAUGUACGGAAUUCCGCAGAGAUGUGGAAGUGCUCGAAAGAGAACCGUAACACAGGUGCUGCAUGGCUGUCGUCAGCUCGUGUCGUGAGACGUUGGGUUAAGUCCCGCAACGAGCGCAACCCUUGUCAUUAGUUGCUACGAAAGGGCACUCUAAUGAGACUGCCGGUGACAAACCGGAGGAAGGUGGGGAUGACGUCAAGUCCUCAUGGCCCUUAUAGGUGG